CUCAGGAUGAACGCUAGCUACAGGCUUAACACAUGCAAGUCGAGGGGAAACGAUAGAGAAAGCUUGCUUUUUCUAGGCGUCGACCGGCGCACGGGUGAGUAACGCGUAUCCAACCUGCCCACCACUUGGGGAUAACCUUGCGAAAGUAAGACUAAUACCCAAUGAUAUCUCUAGAAGACAUCUGAAAGAGAUUAAAGAUUUAUCGGUGAUGGAUGGGGAUGCGUCUGAUUAGCUUGUUGGCGGGGUAACGGCCCACCAAGGCGACGAUCAGUAGGGGUUCUGAGAGGAAGGUCCCCCACAUUGGAACUGAGACACGGUCCAAACUCCUACGGGAGGCAGCAGUGAGGAAUAUUGGUCAAUGGGCGAGAGCCUGAACCAGCCAAGUAGCGUGCAGGAUGACGGCCCUAUGGGUUGUAAACUGCUUUUAUAAGGGAAUAAAGUGAGAGUCGUGACUCUUUUUGCAUGUACCUUAUGAAUAAGGACCGGCUAAUUCCGUGCCAGCAGCCGCGGUAAUACGGAAGGUCCGGGCGUUAUCCGGAUUUAUUGGGUUUAAAGGGAGCGUAGGCCGGAGAUUAAGCGUGUUGUGAAAUGUAGAUGCUCAACGUCUGCACUGCAGCGCGAACUGGUUUCCUUGAGUACGCACAAAGUGGGCGGAAUUCGUGGUGUAGCGGUGAAAUGCUUAGAUAUCACGAAGAACUCCGAUUGCGAAGGCAGCUCACUGGAGCGCAACUGACGCUGAAGCUCGAAAGUGCGGGUAUCGAACAGGAUUAGAUACCCUGGUAGUCCGCACGGUAAACGAUGGAUGCCCGCUGUUGGUCUGAAUAGGUCAGCGGCCAAGCGAAAGCAUUAAGCAUCCCACCUGGGGAGUACGCCGGCAACGGUGAAACUCAAAGGAAUUGACGGAAG
rnacentral:rRNA from 1 species